UAGUGGGAGAGUUAUGUACAUACAGACGAUGAUAUAGUUGGGGAGUUAUGUACAUAAAAUCACCCAAUUCCACAGCACAUAUUCUGUGUCCAUAAAAUCCCAGGCGCCAUUCCUGCCUCUCCGUUGCAAGACAAAAUGGCAUGCUAUAUUUGUUUGUUCAUUGCAGUAACCCUAUAAUCCUAGGUAGGAGAAAUAUUUACCCCUUGACUUCUGCAUUUAUUGACAAUAGUGAGGAAACGGCUGAGGUUGUGCAGGAACUGAAACAGAAAAGCUGAAUAAAUCAAGCAUAGCUUCUUCUGGGAUUGAAGAGGCACAACAUGUGAUUUCAUCUGCCCCCCCCUUUAAAGUAGCAUUGGGUAAAUGAUGAUUAGGUUGGUUGGAUCUAGCUUAAUCACCAUGGGAACAAUUGCCCAACCUUCUGGAUCCUGGGAUGCUAUCUAAGAACCACUGUAAUGACCAUUUAAAAUUUCUAUGUACAUUUGACAUUUAAAAAAUUUCUCAUUGUCAGUGUUCAUUUAGUUAACAGUCAUGCUGUGUUUAGAAUGUCUGUGUUACAGUUCCCCUAAUCUUAAUUGACUAAUAUAUAAAUUAAAAUUUAUUAGAAGAGCAAAACGUGAAAAGUUGUGUAGCCAGUUUUAAUAUAGUUAAAAUUAUUAAACAACAGGACCCUGAUUAGACUGAUAAUAACCAUGGCAGCAGUUGGCAGCUAGAAAGCCACUCCAAUUAAAAUUAAUUGAGAUGAGAAAGCCACUGUUGCAUCAAAAAUUGAUAAAUUUCAAGCUCAAUGAGAAAUUCCAAACAUUACUUUCAAGAUAAAUUGGAAAAGGUUUGCUUUAGCCAUCUUCAGCAAUCUAGAUUUAUUCUGACAAAAAUGAAAACAAAUUUCAUGCACAAUUUUAGCUUAUAAAAUUAAUUACUUCCUUUGUCAAAAGCACCUCUAUUUGACAAAUAAAAACUAUGGGGCUAGAAUUAAGCAAAAUUAAAGUUAUUUCCUUUUGUUUCCUUAAAAAAAAGUCUUUUGUAACUAUCUCCAAAUUUUAGAUAAAUAAAAAAGGUUGGUUUUAACUUAUGACUGCUGCUUGUAAAAAAAAAUGGCUUUAUGCUAAAUCUUAUGCACUUUUGCUGAAUUUUCCAUUCAACCCAAUGAAUAUUCACUGAAAAGUAAAUCCUUCUGGGUUCAAUGGAUUAAUCCCAGAUAAGUCAGUACAGUGUAGUAGCUUGGGUCUAAAAUAGUGUUGAAAUUCUGGACUAAAAGCCACAAAGACAGCAAAUGAACUAUAUAUAAAUAUAAAACCUCGAUACAAACAGAUUUGAGAUAUAUAUAUAUGUGUGUGUGUGUGUGUAUAUAAAAUAUCAUCUUCAAGGCACUAAUGUGAUGGCUAAAUUGGAUUGGUUUGACACCUUCACCAGAAUCAUAUCUGAUGUAGGAGAUGGGAUGGAGAUUUCAUAUCCUGUCUUGGUAUCAGUUGUCAAGCGUUAAGAUGAAAAUUCUGGACAGUUGUCCAUUUGCUUUCUUCAGUUGUCCUGGAAGUUUAGCAGUUUUUU